CUCUCUGCCUUUCCCAAUCCUCACAUCUCUCUAAAACAAAAUUUAUGCAGAAAAUUUCAAAUCAAUAAGCCCAACAACUAUUAGAUGCUUCAAAGGUUUAAGGUGAUCUAAAGUUCUCAAUUUAGAGUUAUAGCUCUCAAUCUCUCCCAACUCACUCUCUUUCAAGAUCUAAACGGAUAUAUGCAUGCAUGUCAUUUACAAGUUCGAACCUUUACAACAGAUCUUGUUGAUUGGGUAUUUCGGAUUUCUUGACAUCGCAGGCCAAAUUCGCCCAUGAAUUCUGGCAGAGGAAACUGGAAGAGAACAUGUUUGCAAGUUCUUAAAUUAGUUGUUGAAUUGGACGCUUAGUUAGUCAAAGUCGACAGUUGAAAGAGGCAUAAUAUCAAAAAUGGAAGAAGUCAAAGUUGAUGGUGUGUGAAAUGUGAAGGACCAGUUUCUAAACAUCAUGCAACAAAACUAGCAUAAGAUAAGUUGUUUGGAUAAGAAUUGUAUAUUCUAGGAUGCUCUCUUAAUGUGUCAAAUAAAUGGUACAGAAGAAACUUUAAACUUGAGGUAAUGUUCUAUAUUUAAUGGCUACUUAUGUUCAACUCUCCUUUAUCCGGUAGAUAGAUGAGAUCAAUAAACAUAUUUCUAGAUUUUUCUGACUUAUGCAUAGCAACAGAUUUUUGACAUGUCUCAAACUACCUUAUUAUACUUUUUCAGUAAUUUAAUUUUACUAAUUGACGACUUCUUAUGCUAAUAUUUUUCCACGCUCAUCCAACAUGCUUAGUACUAUAUAGUUAAUGAUGAGAACUUGGUCAAUGUUGAAUAAUCUUAUACAUUUACAGGUAAAAUAAUCUGUCACUUUCUUUACGUUAUCUUAGAUAAAUUUUGCUAUAACUACAUGAUUUCAAAGAUUAUUUGUAAUUUGUAUAUCUACGUCUUUAUGGGUUUGGCAUUUGUUGAAGAACUUUUCUUUUGCAGUGUGAUAUGUUAGUAUAUAAAUGACCUUCUUAUAGGAUUAUUAAAUUGAGAAGGCAGUGACAUUUUUAUGUUUAGGCGAACUCGAAUCAUGUAGUCUACUCCCUGCCUUAAAAGGCUGUUUACAGUGAAUAGAGUACUGACAAUUGAAUGUAUUGAUAACGAAUCAAUUAUGACCGAAAAAUGGAAGAUUGGAACCUAUGAGGAAGAGUGAAUUUUCAAGUUGGAUUAAUAUGUUUGAUAUUCAAAUAUAUUACGUUAUUUGAGAUGAUAUUUUAUCUGUGCAUUUCAAGUUCAUUUUUUUCGACUUAUUUUUGAAAAUUCUUGAUUAUUUGAUGUAAAUAUGAGAUUCAUAUCAAAGGUAUUCUCUUCUACUGUAUGAAAGAAAUUCAUGAGAAUAUUUUCAGUACUUUUGGUAAUAUGAGAUUCAUAUUAAAGAUGGUUUUGUGAUCUUACAAAUUCUUCUCCAAGACCCAUUGAGUCAUCUGCUUCUUCAGUUUAGUAGAAAUUCUUUCAUGGUAUUGCAUGAAACAUUUGCCUAGUCUCUUAUUGCUAUCUGUACUAGCUUGAAAGGUAUGGUUGUUCUCUUUUUCCCCGUCGUCCUUAUCGAGAAUUUCCCCU